AGCAGCCGCGGUAAUAUUAGUUAGAUAUCGUAUAUUAAAGUUGUUGCAGUCAAAAGGCUAGCUUCAGAAUAUUCGGGGUUCAUACGUUGGUCGGGCUUCUUUGGUCUGUACUUAUGUAAUGGAUUCCUACCUUCUGAAUAACCGGCAUGCCAUUAAUUUGGUGCGCCGGGGAAGCAGGACUGUUACCUUGAAAAAAUUAGAGUGCUUAAAGCAGGCUAUCGCCUGAAUACAUUAGCAUGGAAUAAUGAAAUAGGACGGCAUGGUUCUAUUUUGUUGGUUUCUAGGAUCACCGUAAUGAUUAAUAGGGAUAGUUGGGGGCAUUAGUAUUCAAUUGUCAGAGGUGAAAUUCUUGGAUUUAUUGAAGACUUAACUUCUGCGAAAGCAUUUGCCAAGGAUGUUUUCAUUAAUCAAGAACGAAAGUUAGGGGAUCGAAGACGAUCAGAUACCGUGCGUAGUCUUAACCAUAAACUAUGCCGACUAGGGAUCGGAUGAUGUUAAUUUUUUAAUGACUCA
rnacentral:rRNA from 1 species